AUGUGGGAUGAAGGUGCAUAUAGAAACUGGAAGGAGCUAUAUCAAGUGGCAUCUGCAGUUGGAGUUCUGCUUGGGGUGGAUGAGGAAAGUUUGGAAAGUGGAGAUAAGGAGCCUAUUAGGUUGAGGAUAGCGUUAGGAUGUCUUGUUGGUGCUCCUUUCUCUUACCACUUUGUGUUUGGAUGGUCUUCUAGACUAGUCAAGUUCAUGAUUGAAGACAGAGUAGGAAGGAUAGAAGGGCAGUGGAAGGAAGUAGAAGAACGGAAUGUUAGCGUCAUGAAGGAAUAUGCAGAUAUAAGAGAAGAAGGUAUCGAGGUACCACCAGGAACAAUGAAUAAAGGAAUUGAUUUGGAGGGCACUGAAGUAGAUUUCACAGGCAAUUCUUCUUUGGAUUUCAGAAGUUGCUCAAGCAAGGAAUGUAAAGAAGAACUGAAGACCACAGAACAGAAUCGUAGCGUCAUGAAGGAAUAUGCUGAUAUAAGAGAAGAAGGCAAUUGUUCUUUGGAUGUUGGAAGUUUCUCAGGCAAGGAACAUAAAGAAGAGCUGAAGACCACAGAAACAGCUACAUUGUUGGAAGUGGCGAAGUUCAUUGCAGAGUUAAGAGUUCAUGAAGACAUCAAGGGAAACAGCACAAGUGCUAUGGCAGCCACCACAGCAAACUUGAAGAUAGCAGCAACAGGGGGCAAUCCCCAAGUGAAAGCUCAGCAGGAGCUGAUCAUAUGUCGGGUUUGGAAGAUUGUUCAGACAAGGAACAUCAAAAGAAACUGA
rnacentral:rRNA from 1 species